UACAGAGGGGGCAAGCGUUAUUCGGAAUUAUUGGGCGUAAAGGGCGCGUAGGCGGCCUUGCAAGUGGCGGGUGAAAUCCCUCGGCUUAACCGAGGAACUGCCUGCCAGACUGCAAGGCUCGAGACCGGGAGAGGUGAGUGGAAUUCCCAGUGUAGCGGUGAAAUGCGUAGAUAUUGGGAGGAACACCAGUGGCGAAGGCGGCUCACUGGACCGGUUCUGACGCUCAGGCGCGAAAGCGUGGGGAGCGAUCCGG
rnacentral:rRNA from 1 species